CCCGGUGUAGCGGUGAAAUGCGUAGAUAUCGGGAAGAACACCAGUGGCGAAGGCGCUCUGCUGGGCCAUUACUGACGCUCAUGGACGAAAGCCAGGGGAGCGAAAGGGAUUAGAUACCCCUGUAGUCCUGGCCGUAAACGAUGAACACUAGGUGUCGGGGGAAUCGACCCUUUCGGUGUCGUAGCUAACGCGUUAAGUGUUCCGCCUGGGGAGUACGCACGCAAGUGUGAAACUCAAAGGAAUUGACGGGGGCCCGCACAAGCGGUGGAGUAUGUGGUUUAAUUCGAUGCAACGCGAAGAACCUUACCAGGGUUUGACAUCCUGCGAACCUCUUAGAAAUUUGAGGGUGCCUUCGGGAAUGCAGUGACAGGUGGUGCAUGGCUGUCGUCAGCUCGUGUCGUGAGAUGUUGGGUUAAGUCCCGCAACGAGCGCAACCCACGUUUUUAGUUGCCAGCAUUUAGUUGGGCACUCUAGAAAGACCGCCGGUGAUAAACCGGAGGAAGGUGUGGAUGACGUCAAGUCAUCAUGCCCCUUACACCCUGGGCUACACACGUACUACAAUGCUACGGACAAAGGGCAGCAAACUCGCGAGAGCUAGCAAAUCCCAUAAACCGUGGCUCAGUUCAGAUCGUAGGCUGCAACUCGCCUACGUGAAGUAGGAAUCGCUAGUAAUCGCAGGUCAGCAUACUGCGGUGAAUACGUUCCCGGGCCUUGUACACACCGCCCGUCACACCAUGGAAGUUGGCCAUGCCCGAAGUCGUUACUCCAACCCUUGUGGAGGAGGACGCCGAAGGUGGGGCUAAUGACUGGGGUGAAGUCGUAACAAGGUAACC
rnacentral:rRNA from 1 species